ACCGCAUAUACAGCCGUUAACGCCGGUGUCGGAAGUAUCGGAGCCGCCGGAAUCUCCUUCUCCUUAUACGGAUACAGGAGGUGAUGCUAUGCAGGUUGAGUUAGAGGAGGAGAUGGAUGCUGAUACGGAGGAGAUGGAACCUCCGCCAACAGCUGCACCGUUUUCGAUGCUGUUUGCUUGUGCUGACCGGUUAGAUUGGGUGCUUAUGAUAUUAGGAUCAGUUGCUGCAGCUGCACAUGGGACUGCUUUGGUGGUUUACUUGCAUUAUUUUGCUAAGAUUAUUCAGUUGCUUAGUCAUGGUUCUGAAUCCGCUGAUGAUCUAUUUGACCGGUUCACUGAGCUUGCCUUGACCAUCCUAUAUAUUGCUGGGGGUGUUUUUGUUGCUGGUUGGAUUGAGGUAUCAUGUUGGAUUCUUACCGGAGAGCGGCAGACUGCGGUGAUCAGAUCAAG
rnacentral:misc_RNA from 1 species